ACGCACGCUGGCGGCGUGCUUAACCCCUGCAAGUCGAACGGAAAGGCCCUGCUUUUGUGGGGUGCUCGAGUGGCGAACGGGGGAGUAACACGUGAGUAACCUGCCCUUGACUUUGGGAUAACUUCAGGAAACUGGGGCUAAUACCGGAUAGGAGCUCCUGCUGCAUGGUGGGGGUUGGAAAGUUUCGGCGGUUGGGGAUGGACUCGCGGCUUAUCAGCUUGUUGGUGGGGUAGUGGCUUACCAAGGCUUUGACGGGUAGCCGGCCUGAGAGGGUGACCGGCCACAUUGGGACUGAGAUACGGCCCAGACUCCUACGGGAGGCAGCAGUGGGGAAUAUUGCACAAUGGGCGGAAGCCUGAUGCAGCAACGCCGCGUGCGGGAUGACGGCCUUCGGGCUGUAAACCGCUUUCGCCUGUGACGAAGCGUGAGUGACGGUAAUGGGUAAAGAAGCACCGGCUAACUACGUG
rnacentral:rRNA from 1 species